GGGGCUCAGUUGUGCUGCCAGCAGUAAUUCCCACUAUGAGCUGGCUAAUCCCACACAUGAGCCGGGAAUUAAAUGGCAUUUGAUUCUAAUAUGUUCAGCUCAGAACCAAGUCAUAGAAUAAGAGGGAAAAUACAUACUACAUCGCCAGAUAGAAUAGACAUAAAUACCACUGUAGAAAUGUAAGAGGGCAAUCGGGAGAAACGGUGCAUCAAAAGACGUCGGCCAGCCGCUAAGACAAUCAAUUGCUGUUUUACUAUCAGGAGGAGUAAAACCACGACUGGCAAGCUAGCUAGACGAGAGGCACAUGUUUCCCAUAGGUAAUGCUGCCCAAUAUUUGUCUUACCUUUAUUUUCAUUCCAGUCAAAUGUAGCCUAUCAGUUAUCUCAGACAGAACAGCUGGUUGGCCUUGUGAGUGGAGGGCUGAAGUGUAUAGGGAGGAAUGGAGUGGGCCUUCGGACCAGAUGACGAGAGAGGACAUGUGCUUACAUGAACUAGACACCAGCUGCUGCUGGACCCCUAAGAGAGACAUGACAACCAGAUCCUGGAUGACACGCCAUUCACACAUCUGACUCGGGCUGAUUGAGUCAAUUCCCAGUUCCCUCUCACAAAGGGAGAUGGGUGGAAUGAGGGACCCAUCGUGGCCUCACUGGAGUUCUCACAGACGGUGUCCCAAAUGGCACCCUAUUCCCUUUGUAGUGCACUGCUUUUGACCAGGGCCCUGUCGUGCACUAAGCAGUGCACUAAAUAGAAAAUAGGGUGUCAUUUGGGACGCUGGCACGGUCCAAGAGCAGGCAUCCAUGAUUGGGCGAGCACCAGCUCUGUACCGUUGAUCUGUAAGACGUAUUUUCCUACUUGGGUAAAGUCUAAAGGCUUUUUCACUAGAUGUGGUGAUCUGGCCUCUCCCUGGGCGAAUGGCGUUUCCAGAUGUUUCAAGUAAGCUCUAAUAUAUGGGUAUUAUGGGUCCAGUGCAAUGAACUCAGCAGUGUACCUUGUGGAGGACCCAUAAUAAUACUUGAGUGUGUGUAACCCUACCUUCCAGCAGACGUAAAACCUGUGAUAUUGCUAAAACUCACCUCCAAUACAACCCUGGGUUUUUACUGUGCACUGUGAGAGGGGCAUGUACAGUACAUAACUCUACUUGCUAAUAGAACUUGAAGUCUUAUGGUUGUUAUCCCCUGCAAGCCAGUCCAUAUACAUUUUGUGUGUCUUUUUAAAUGCAUGUGAGUUACUUAGAGAUCCUUUCAUCGACAAUCACAGACCAAAUCUGGGCCCAUUGUGGCGCAGCGGUCUAAGGCACUGCAGCUCAGUGCAAGAGGUGUCACUACAGUACCUGGUUCGAAUCCAGGCUGCAUCACAUCCGGCCGUGAUUGGGAGUCCCAUAGGGCGGCGCACAAUUGGCCCAGCGUCGUCCGAGUUUGGCCGGGGUAGGCCGUCAUUGUAAAUAAGAAUGUGUUCUUAACUGGCUUGCCUAGUUAAAUAAAGGUUAAACAAAUAUAUAUAUAUUUAAAAAUCAACACUGAAUCAGAACAAAACCAAAGGAGGUAUUCAGCCAUGCAACCCCAAAGAGUCUUUGUCUGUUUCCACUCAAAGAUAGGUUGAUAUGUUUAAUGUGGUGUUGAGUAGAGCCAGGAGAAUUCAGUCCACACUACAGAACCUCAGAGGAACAUGCAUAUCAAAAGUAUGUGGACACACCUUCAAAUUUGUGGAUUUGGCUAUUUCAGCCACACUUGUUGAUGACAGGUGUAUACAAUUGAGCACACAGCCAUGCAAUCUCCAUAGACAAACAUUGGCAGUAGAAUGGAGCUCAGUGACUUUCAACGUGGCACCGUCAUAAGAUACCACCUUUCCAACAAGUCAGUUCACCAAAUUUCUGCCCUGCUAGAGCUGCCCCGGUCAACUGUAAGUGCUGUUAUUGUGAAUUGGAAACGUCUAGGAGCAACAACGGUUCAGCUGCGAAGUGGUAGGCCACACAAGCUAACAGAAUAGGACCGCAGAAUGGGAAGCGUGUAGUGUGUAAAUAUCAUCUCUCUUCGGUUGCAAAACUCACUACCGAGUUCCAAAAUGCCUCUGGAAGCAAUGUCAGCACAAGAACUGUUCCUCAGGAGCUCCAUGGCCGAGCAGCCGCACACAAGCCUAAGAUCGCCAUGCGUAAUGCCAAGCGUUGG
rnacentral:lncRNA from 1 species